rnacentral:lncRNA from 1 species
GGACGGUAAUGCCCUGGGCCACCGCAUUUGCUCUACACUCACUCGCUGACUCACUCAGAGCAAAUUCUGCCCUGCAAGCUCCAUUCAUGUUUCAGUUGAAGAACACUUGAAGGUCUGAACACAAAGAGGCAUAUCUGCACAUAGAACUGAUUUAGAUAACAAGAUCCUGAACUUCGAACAAAAGAUGUGAUGGAAUAAGACUUUGUGGAGGGGCCUUGGAGCAACUGAGUUUAUUUUGCAUUUGGAAGGAAUAUAAAUAAUUUGUAGCCAGCGGGCAGACUCCAGCAUAUUAAAAUGGCCAAAAUAUUUUUGCUACUUCUCCCAUUGAGAGGUAGAGUUUAAUUUUUAUCUCUAUGGAUCUGGCUGUUUCUGCUACUAAUUUACAAAAGAAACACUAUAGAUGUGACACUGUCAGUUUCCUGGACCAGGCUUUAAAGAUCUGGCAUCUUCCAUGUACUGUCUCUGGGACUGCUAGCUCAAAGUUCAAAAACUUCCACAAAAGAAGGCCAACUAUCCUGAGACCACUGUAUUGAAGAGGCCAUGCGUAAGAACUCAGACCAACAGUCCAAGCUGUGCUUUGCCUUCUAGCAUUCCCUGCCAAAGCACAUGGGGUGUGAGGGGAGCCAAACUGGCCUCUCUGUGACAGUCCAACAGCCAAAUCAAUUGCAACAAGUGACCUCAGUUAAUGACACAUGCAGCCAAAAAAUGGCCGCCUGAGACAUGCUCACAAUUUCCGAUUUUAAAAAGCAAAAAACCAUGAGAUAUAGUAACAUGUUCGUUGUUGUAACACACUACAUUUUGGAAUGAUUUGUUAAGCAAAAUUAGAUAACAAGAACAUAAGGAUGAGAAAGGUCUCCAUUUCUGUUUAUAUGAAGACAGGCAGCUGAGAAGCAUGCAAGAUAAUAUUUGACAAGUUCUUUCUCAGUCCAUAUUAUUCUGGUACUUAAAAAAAAUUAUAUACUGGAAAUCCUAAAUCACUUGGAGAUACUGACUGUAGUAUGUAGUGUAUUCAAAUUACAGUCUAUUUUUAAACAAUAGGAAAAAUGCAAGAACAAUACUAUCAAUUAAAGUUGAUGUCAAGAUAUAAUUGUAAAAAGAAAAGCUUGUAAUAUAGUACACUGGUUCACCCAGAAUUAUAUAUAUUAAUUAAUAGUUAGCCUUCUUGGAAUAAGUUAAAGCAAGUAAUGAUGGACAUCAAAACUCUAUUUUGUACUAUUUAUUAGAUAAACCAUAUGUCCACUUUUGAAAUGCAAUUUUCUUUUACUUUUCAGGGAUUGCUUAGCUUAUAAUACUUAUUUAAGAGUAGAACAAAUAAUUCUAUCUGAACUUUUGAAAAAGUAGAUAAAAACAUACUGUAUCCCAGCUGGGCGUGGUGGCUCACGCCUGUAAUCCCAGCACUUCCAGAGGCCGAGGCAGGUGGAUCACGAGGUCAGGAGAUCAAGACCAUCCUGGCUAACAUGGUGAAACCCUAUCUCUACUAAAAAAUACAAAAAAUUAGCCGGGCGUGGUGGUGGGCGCCUGUAGUACCAGCUACUUGGGAGGCUGAGGCAGGAGAAUGGCGUGAACCCGGGAGGCGGAGCUUGCAGUGAGCCAAGAUCAUGCCACUGCACUCCAGCCUGGGCAACAGAGUAAGACUCCGUCUCAAAAAAAAAAAAAAAAAGUGUAUCCCUUAGUAAGCUUAUUUUACAACCUUAGUAAUAUUCAAUGCCUAAAUAUCUAAAACUACCUUAAUAACUUUUUAAUGUAUAUUUGCAAUAUAUGAAUGUAAAGUGUAAUGAAUAAAAUACAGUAAUUACAAUAAAAAAUGCAUUUCCCAUUAUCAGAACUCUUUUCAAAGUGCUCUUCUAAAAGAAUAACAUGUAUUUAAUAGAUAUGGCAGAAAGCUAGAAGUAAUCAGUAAAACCGAGAAUAAAAAAUGUAGUGAGGGACACUGGAAUACAAGUUUAGAAAGUGUCACUUUGCAAAGUUACUUUCUUGAAUAAUCCUCUUUCCUACCACCCUGUCACAAAAGACAACCUAUGAAAUCAACAAAAAUGUGAUGAAAUAUAAUCGACUUGAUUUUAUGUAUGGUCUUAAUGAAAUUUUGAUAUAGUUUAGGCAGAUUUUUAUCUCAGGUUUUUUGUUUUGUUUUGUUUUGUUUUUCUGUUGUUGAGACAGGGUCUAGAUCUUUUGCCCACGCUGGAAUACACUGUAUCAUCAAAUACCUUCCACCUCAGCCUCCUGAGUAGCUAGGACUAUAGGUGUACACUGCCACACAGGCUAAUUUUAUUUAUUUUUAUUUUUGGUAGAGCUGAGCUCUUGAUAUGUUGUCCAGGCUGCUCUUGAACUCCUAGCUGCAAACAGUCCUCCCACCUCGGCCUCCUAAAGUGCUGGGAUUACAGGCAUGAACCACUACACCCUGGCCUAGAUAAUUUGUUUGAAAAAAAAAAAAAGAAAGAAACACAAAAAUUCUUCUAAGGAAGCAUAUUAAAAAUAGGUUUUUCUGUUUCUUCUUUGAAAUAAAAUAAAUCUAAAAUAAUAGGCUGAUGUGCCCUUACCACAAACAGAAGUAACUAUUUGUCGGUGUGAAAUAUUAUUUCCCUGCAAUGAGUACACCACUGAGUUCAGAUGUAUUUAUUAGUCUAUAACUGGAGAUAAAAAUAUAACCUGAUGUCACAAUAAUUUCUGCAGGCUUUUGAGGCACGUUCUUAUUCUCCUUCCAUUGUACCAUCCUAAAUUAACUCUGGUGAGAAGCUUCACUUCCACUCUUCAUUCUAUACUGAGGAGCCAUGGGUCUUGACAAUGAAAUAAAUAACAUGAAAUACAUCUGUUUUCCUUUCUGUUAGAUAAAAGAAACCCAAGAGAACACUGUAACCUGAAAAUAAUCAACUGAUGAGUAAAUGACAGUCUUCAGCAUUUCUAGUACACUCAGUCUGGCAAAACUGUGGCCUAUACCCUUAAGUUAUAUAUUUAUAACAGGCAGAUAAACACCAUCUUUAUUUACAGAACUCUUAGGGAACUAUAUGAAGCAAGCUAAAAAUAUUUAAAAGAAUAUGUAGGACUUUUUUAAAAUAUAUUUUUAUAUUUUUGAUUAGUCUAUCAUUAAUGCCAAUACAGUCAAACCUAAAGAGCAUGCUCCCUUAGCCCUCAUACCAAGAUUUGGGGAAGACAUUUUUGUCUUCAGUCUGAUGAAAAUUUCAGGUAGUUUCUUUUGUAUAGGAAAAAUGUUCACCAGAAUAUUUUAGGAUCAGCCAUUUGAAAGAGAUUUCCUCAUCAGUUUAGGUGGAAGAAGUCCCUGAAGUUUAUCAUUGUUAAGAAGUUAAGGGUGAAAUUGUUGGUGGGAAGGUAAAUUAGUACAGCCAUAAUGAAAAUUUUUUGAAAACAAAAAAUAAAAAAUAUAACUAUUGCAUGAUUCAGCAAUCCCAUUGCUGGGUAUAUAUCCAAAGGAGAUGAAAUCAGUAUGUUAGAGAUAUCUGCACUUCCAUGUUCAAAGAGCAUUAUUCACAAUAGCCAAGAUAUGAAAUCAACUUUAAUGUUCAUCAACAGUUAAAUGGAUAAAGAAGAUAUAGUAUAUUUGCACAAUGGAAUGCUAUUCAUUCAUAAAACAGAAGAAAAUCAUCUCAUUUGCAACAAUGUGGAUAAACUGGAAAGACAUUAUGUUAAGUCAAACAAAGUAGACACAGAAAGACAAAUACUGCAUGAUUUCACUUCAAUGCAAAGUGUAAAAAAUUUGAACUGCGGUGGCUCACGCCUGUAAUCCCAGCACUUUGGGAGGUCGAGGCGGGCAGAUCAUGAGGUCAGGAGUUCAAGACCAGCCUGGCCAAUAUGGUGAAACCCCAUCUCUACUAAAAAUACAAAAAAUAGCCGGGUGUGGUGGCACGCACCUGUAGUCGCAGCUACUUGGGUGGCAGAGGCAGAAGAAUCACUUGAACCCGGGAGGUGGAGGUUGCAGUGAGCCGAGAUCGCACCACCGCACUCCAACCUGGGCGACAAGAGUAAGACUCUGUCUCAAAAAAAACAAAAUUUGAACUGAUAGAAGUAGAUAGUAGAAUGCUCAUUACCAGGGGCUUGUGGAGGGAGGAGACUGGGAAAAUGUUGGGACAAAUAUGUUCAAGAAAGCUAUCGUCCAACAUGAUGACUAUAGUUAAUAACAAUGAUUAUAAUCUUGAAAAUUGCUAAAAAGAAUACGUAGGAUGUUUUAAAAAUAUUUUUUUAUAUUUUUGACUAGUCUAUCAUUAAUGCCAAUACAGUCAAAGCUAAGGAGCUUCAUUCCCUUAGCCCUCACAGAUUGACAUAUUUUUACCACAAACAUAAGCAAGUGAGAUUAUAAAUAUGUUAAUUAGCUCAAUUUAGUCAUUUCAUAAUGUAUACAUAUUUCAAAACAACAGCCUGUACAUGGUAAAUACAUACAAUAUUUACUGGUCAAUUAAAAUAAUAAAUUUCAAAAAUAAGUAAAACAUGAAGAAUUUGAUCAUUAAUUACAAUAUUUGUAAAUAAACCUGGAUGAAUAGAUGUCUCUCUUUUCUCUCUUACUUUUUCUAAAUAUUUGUACAGAGUUCUUAGCUGUCUCCCAUUCCCCUUUAUCUCACCAGAGAAAGUGAUCCUCUUUACAGUGACCGAAGCUAUUAAUCGUAAUGUAACGCAGAGCAAAGACAUACAGAAGGUCAGAGGGGCAAGGGACUUAAUUUAAGGCAAUAUCUCUUUCAGCUUUGUCACUCAACCCAUGAAUAUACUGAGGUCCAUAAGAAUUAAGUUCAUUUUUCAGUCCAAAUAGCUCGAUUCCUGAGCAUCUCCACUACUUUUGUUUAAAAAAAGGUCAUGGGGGCAGCAGACAAACAAACCAGAAGCAAAACAGAAAAACCAUACAUAAAACAAAACAGAACCAAACAAAAAAAAUGCCUUUUUGUAGCGCUGGUGUUAGCUGUUUUCUGACUCUGAAUUCUUAAAGCAGUUAAUUUCACCUUCCAUUAUAUUAUUACACAUUAUUUCUAUAAUUCUGGUGUUAUUAAUAUUUUCCUCAAUAGUUUAUAUAACGUAUUCACUGAAUGCAUGCUAUGUGAAGGCAUUGCACUGAAAAGCUAGGAAAUUGUUUGUGGCUUAAAAAAAGGGAUGAACUCCAUUAUGAAACAUAUAAAUUUAAGCAUAUUAAUAAUAGUAAAAAUGAUAAGCAUGCAUACAGAAAUACGCAAAAUAUGCUAUGAAAAUGGUUGUUUUCAGUAAAA